rnacentral:rRNA from 1 species
GAUGAACGCUGGCGGCGUGCCUAAUACAUGCAAGUCGAGCGAACGGACGAGAAGCUUGCUUCUCUGAUGUUAGCGGCGGACGGGUGAGUAACACGUGGAUAACCUACCUAUAAGACUGGGAUAACUUCGGGAAACCGGAGCUAAUACCGGAUAAUAUUUUGAACCGCAUGGUUCAAAAGUGAAAGACGGUCUUGCUGUCACUUAUAGAUGGAUCCGCGCUGCAUUAGCUAGUUGGUAAGGUAACGGCUUACCAAGGCAACGAUGCAUAGCCGACCUGAGAGGGUGAUCGGCCACACUGGAACUGAGACACGGUCCAGACUCCUACGGGAGGCAGCAGUAGGUAAUCUUCCGCAAUGGGCGAAAGCCUGACGGAGCAACGCCGCGUGAGUGAUGAAGGUCUUCGGAUCGUAAAACUCUGUUAUUAGGGAAGAACACAUGUGUAAGUAACUGUGCACAUCUUGACGGUACCUAAUCAGAAAGCCACGGCUAACUACGUG